GUUUGAGCUUUCUGCACUCACUGAUCCUCUUGCUGUUUGUAAAGAGAUGGAACUGUUCCCACUUGUUAGCCACUCAUCUCAUGCUUAUGCCUGUUGAUUUUUGUUUCUCUUGAAAAUUCUUGCUCCAACGGACUCUAUUUGUUCUGUGUUCGAUUCCAUGUAGGCUCGUUCUAGUAAUUUACGAGGACUCCCGAUCAUCUAUGUUUGCCUCCUUGAUUACAAAUUCUACUUCGUCAGAUUUAAGAGACAAAACUCAAU
rnacentral:misc_RNA from 1 species